rnacentral:rRNA from 1 species
GGGUUAAGUAGGUGCGCAGGCGGUUCUGUAAGUCAGAUGUGAAAAUCCCCGGGGCUUAAACCUGGGGAACUGCGUUUGAAAACUGCAGAGCUAGAGUGCGGCAGAGGGAGGUGGAAUUCCAUGUGUAGCAGUGAAAUGCGUAGAGAUAUGGAAGAACAUCGAUGGCGAAGGCAACCUCCUGGGCUAGCACUGACGCUCAUGCACGAAAGCGUGGGGAGCAAACAGGAUUAGAUACCCUGGUAGUCCACGCCCUAAACUAUGUCAACUAGUUGUCGGGUCUUAAUAGACUUGGUAACGUAGCUAACGCGUGAAGUUGACCGCCUGGGGAGUACGGUCGCAAGAUUAAAACU